AGCGAACGCUGGCGGCAGGCCUAACACAUGCAAGUCGAACGAAGUCUUCGGACUUAGUGGCGGACGGGUGAGUAACACGUGGGAACGUACCUUUUGGUUCGGAACAACUCAGGGAAACUUGAGCUAAUACCGGAUGAGCCCUUAGGGGGAAAGAUUUAUCGCCGAAAGAGCGGCCCGCGUUAGAUUAGCUAGUUGGUGAGGUAAAGGCUCACCAAGGCUACGAUCUAUAGCUGGUCUGAGAGGAUGAUCAGCCACAAUGGGACUGAGACACGGCCCAGACUCCUACGGGAGGCAGCAGUGGGGAAUCUUGCGCAAUGGGCGAAAGCCUGACGCAGCCAUGCCGCGUGAAUGAUGAAGGUCUUAGGAUUGCAAAAUUCUUUUACCAGGGACGAUAAUGACGGUACCUGGAGAAAAAGCCCCGGCUAACUUCGUGCCAGCCGCCGCCGUAAAAC
rnacentral:rRNA from 1 species